UACGGAGGGUGCAAGCGUUAUCCGGAUUCACUGGGUUUAAAGGGUGUGUAGGCGGGCAUGUAAGUCAGUGGGGAAAUCUCCGGGCUCAACCUGGAAACUGCCAUUGAUACUAUAUGUCUUGAAUUUUGUUGAGGUUGGCGGAAUAAGUCAUGUAGCGGUGAAAUGCAUAGAUAUGACUUAGAACACCGAUUGCGAAGGCAGCUAACUAAGCAAACAUUGACGCUGAGGCACGAAAGCGUGGGGAUCAAACAGG
rnacentral:rRNA from 1 species